CUGAAGGCGCCCGAUCUCGUCUGAUCUCGGAAGCUAAGCAGGGUCGGGCCUGGUUAGUAUCUUGGAUGGUAGACCACCUGGGAAUCCCGGGU
rnacentral:rRNA from 1 species